GAGUGAAAAGAAUGUGAAAAGAGUGAAAGAGAGAGCUGGAACAACUGACCAAGACUGAUAGAGAAAAAGAAUCAGGCUUCAUAUGUGGGGGUCAAUGAUAAAAGACUUAAAUCACAAGAGACGGAAAGAAUUGCACUCAGUGGGACGCAGAAAAGUACCAAGAUUAUUUGCCUCGGUUUCUGCUCAAAGAGACUGUUGAUGGCACAACCAUUUAAGGAGUGGUCCAUUCCGGUCACGAUAUGAAGAUAUCACUCCACCACAGGUGUCAGAACUCAAGAGUGUUCACUUGAUGACAUCCCCAUGUAGAAGAAAUAAUGCUGACCCAGCAAUGUGCCAAGGAGGACUUUAUGUGGGAGAAGGAAGGGAGAGUCUGCAAGAUCGUUAAAUUUUGAACCCAUUCACACUAUACAUAAAAUGUCAACACAUUUUUAACCAAUUAAAUAAAUAACUGGAUAAACAUGAAGUAUUGAUGGAGCCACUAACAGUCCAAAAGAAGUUGGGAAACAGAAUACUAUUUAAUGAAAAGUUGAGAAGUAAUUAGUUAUGUCCUUCCAACAUAUUAAAAUUAGUAAUUUUAAAUUUAUCU